AGAGUUUGAUCCUGGCUCAGGACGAACGCUGGCGGCGUGCUUAACACAUGCAAGUCGAACGAGAUCCAUUCAGUAGCAAUACUGAUGAAGAUCUAGUGGCGAACGGGUGCGUAACACGUGAGGAACUUGUCCCGGUCUCUGGGAUAACAGUUGGAAACGACUGCUAAUACCGGAUGACGUCGGAACUUCGCAUGGAGUACUGACGAAAGGGUUACUGGAUCGGGAGAGCCUCGCGGCCUAUCAGCUUGUUGGUGGGGUAAUGGCCUACCAAGGCAUCGACGGGUAGCUGGUCUGAGAGGAUGAUCAGCCACACUGGGACUGAGACACGGCCCAGACUCCUACGGGAGGCAGCAGUGGGGAAUCUUGCACAAUGGGCGAAAGCCUGAUGCAGCAACGCCGCGUGCGGGAAGAAGGCCCU
rnacentral:rRNA from 1 species